UGGGGAAUAUUGGACAAUGGGCGCAAGCCUGAUCCAGCAAUGCCGCGUGUGUGAAGAAGGCCUUCGGGUUGUAAAGCACUUUUAUCAGGAGCGAAACGCUGUCGGCUAAUACCCGGCGGAACUGACGGUACCUGAGGAAUAAGCACCGGCUAACUUCGUGCCAGCAGCCGCGGUAAUACGAAGGGUGCAAGCGUUAAUCGGAAUUACUGGGCGUAAAGCGUGCGUAGGCGGUUUCUUAAGUCUGCUGUGAAAUCCCCGGGCUCAACCUGGGAAUGGCAGUGGAUACUGGGAGGCUAGAGUGUGUCAGAGGGUGGUGGAAUUCCCGGUGUAGCGGUGAAAUGCGUAGAGAUCGGGAGGAACAUCAGUGGCGAAGGCGGCCACCUGGGACAACACUGACGCUGAGGCACGAAAGCGUGGGGAGCAAACAGGAUUAGAUACCCUGGUAGUCCACGCCCUAAACGAUGCGAACUGGAUGUUGGUCUCAACUCGGAGAUCAGUGUCGAAGCUAACGCGUUAAGUUCGCCGCCUGGGGAGUACGGUCGCAAGACUGAAACUCAAAGGAAUUGACGGGGUCAUAGCUGUUUCC
rnacentral:rRNA from 1 species